GGGAAUACGGAGGGUCGAGCUCGUCCACGGAGGGAACAGGGGUAAAGGCACAGUGCUGUCAGGGGAGGGGGAGGGGAGUUUUGGUCGCCGGUGAGAACUUUAGAGAGUUUUUGUUCGGUGGAAGACUUAGGGGGUUUGUUCAGUGAGAACAAUUUGAAGAGAGAAGAGAGGAACCAAGGGAGGGUGGCGGCGGAGGAUGGCGAAGGCUUGGACACAGGGAGCCUCGGAGGAAGUUACCGGGAUCUCGGAGCAUCUGGAAAUUGAACGCGCCCUCCGCUCGCCAGCGCGGCCUGUCACCAGUGUGUGCUGGGGCCACACGGAAGUGGAGGAAGCAUCAGGCUGCAGAACUGCCCCUGCUCUCGGCUCCCGCUCCCGGAUUUCAGCGCCAGAUGAAAGGAAGAGAAGGGACGCGAACUCAACAGUCCAAACCUGAGAGGGACCUGUCUGUUCCGCUUAUCUGGACAUGAGAAGAUGUUAACAUUCAAAAACAAGGCUGUUUAUACCAUAAGAACUGAAUCAAAUUGUAAGGCUGGGAGCACCAGGGGAAGAGGUGAGCCUGCUGGACAAGCUCAGGCCUCACCAAACAAGGCAAAGAGACCAACACGUUCCGGUCUGACAACAUUCCAGAGCCUGAUCGGACAACAUUCCUAACUAGAGCCCUUCCCCCAAACUAGAAGAGUAGUGGUAACUUUCCAGUACCUGGCUAAAGGCCAAUGAGAGACCCCACGUACCCUAGGCGAGCCAAUCCCUGCGCCACUGUACACCUUUGCUCCCCCUACCCCUGCUUUCUUUAAAAACUUGCUGCCUGCCCUGCUGAGUGUAACUUUCCCAGCCUCCAUUUCUGGAGACUGGGAAACCUUGCCCGGGAAUUGUGUUCAAAUAAACUGCCUGGCCCUUUGUUGCCUCUCUUUGCCUGCUUAUUUUGGCUAGAAUUUAUCUUACAUUUGGUACCGAAACCCGGGAGAGAGUGUGAGUGGGGGCACCAACUGGCCACCGGUGGCCCUGACCCCUCCUUCCCUGACCCGGGACCUCAGCCUGCUCUCUGCUGCAUGGACUAUUUUCUGGUGAGUCCCUCAGUUUCCCCUGGUCUGCUUCCCUUCCUAACUCCAUUUCACCUGGUCCGUCCAAAAUCAUAGCUAUAUCCAGGUGGGGGCAUCCGGCCCCUUGGGCAUCCCCCCCACCCUCUGUGGGCAUCCGGCCCGCCCCUGGCCCUGCAGUGUGGGAGAUGUCCCUCACCCAGGCUCCCAGGACGU